UACGAAGGGGGCAAGUGUUAUUCGAUCGAACUGGGCGUAAAGCGUCUUUAGGCUGUUUUUUGUAAGUGUACUGGUAAAAAUUAGGGUUAAGCCUUAAAAUGCUUGUACAAACUAUCUAACUUGAGUCUUUCAGGGGUUAGUGGUAUUUUUUAAGGAUAAGUGACAUUUCACGACAAAAGAAAGAGCAUCAAGGGUGAAAACAACUAACUGGGAUAGAACUGACGCCAAUAAGACUAAAGCACGGGGAGCAAACAGG
rnacentral:misc_RNA from 1 species